AGCAGCCGCGGUAAUUCCAGCUCCAAUAGCGUAUAUUAAAGUUGUUGCAGUUAAAAAGCUCGUAGUUGAAUUUCGGGAUCAGUACGCUGGUCGUGCCUCUGGUAUGUACUGGUGUUUCUGAUUCCUCCCUUCUGACGAACCGUCAUGUCAUUAAUUUGGUGUGGCGGGGAAUCAGGACUGUUACUUUGAAAAAAUUAGAGUGUUUAAAGCAGGCUCGCGCUUGAAUACAUUAGCAUGGAAUAAUGAAAUAGGACGUUCGAUCCUAUUUUGUUGGUUUCUAGGAUUGACGUAAUGAUUAAUAGGGAUAGUUGGG
rnacentral:rRNA from 1 species